rnacentral:lncRNA from 1 species
UCUUUGUUUUGUCUCCCUCUUUUAUUUUGCCUCCCGUCGCUGUCUGUUUGCCUCCUUCUCGUGUGCCUAUAAAAGAGAGGUCGCUCAGCUCUAGAGGGACACACGAGAGCAUCAUUUUCGUCACUCCAUCGAGUUCCAUUUUCUGAACUGCUGCUAGCUUCUUCCCCAUCCCGGCUUGCGGCGUGCACCACAAGUCGGGACAGUAGGCCUUGAAACCCCGCCUCUUUGGGUCCUGGGAGAAUGGUGAUAAGGCUUUUGAGGAGCGCUCUGCGCGACAACUGGCUUCUUCAUCACGGACGCCAUGAACGCGGACGACCACUUUCCGGACGACGAAUUCUUCCCCGACGUCAACAACCUCUUCGACAACAUGGCCAGUAAUGACGUCAACGCUAAUCCCACUAGUGAUGGUGUUGCAACUCAGUACGUGUUCGUGUUCUUCUUGUUUGAGUUCCUGCUGUAACUUAUUGUUCUAGUUUUUGUUUUAGAUAUGUUCCAUUCCUACUCAUCACUUCAGAUGGUACUUGCAUACUCUUUACAUGAUCGCAUGAC